rnacentral:rRNA from 1 species
GCUAGCUUACCUCUAACUUGGAGGUAAAUAUCGAUAUACUCGAAUAAAGUUCUAAAUAGAAUUAUGAUAAUGACAUAUUUUAUUUAUUAGUCUUGACUAAUUUGCGUGCCAGCAGUCGCGGUAAUACGCAUAAGACUAGUGUUAUUCAUCUUUAAUAGGUUUAAAGGGUACCUAGACAGUAAAUAAAGCCCCUUUACGGGAAGGAACUCAUUUACUAGAGUUAAAUAUGAGGGAGCUAUCAGGUACUAGUGGUGUAGAGAUGAAAUUCUUUGAUACUUCGCUUCGCGAGAGGUAAACAUGGCACAGAUAGAGGCGUAAGCAUCUCCUUAUAGCAUAACUGACG